CAAUAGCGUAUAUUAAAGUUGUUGCAGUUAAAAAGCUCGUAGUUGGAUUUCGGGGCAGCCUGGCUGGUCCGCCGCAAGGCGAGUACUGGUCAGCCGCCCUUCCUCUCGAAAGCCCCGACUGCUCUUUAUUGCAGUGGUCGGGUAGUUCGGGACGUUUACUUUGAAAAAAUUAGAGUGUUCAAGGCAGGCCUACGCCUGAAUACAUUAGCAUGGAAUAAUGGAAGAGGACCUCGGUCCUAUUUUGUUGGUUUCCAGGACCGAAGUAAUGAUUAAGAGGGACAGUUUGGGGCAUUCGUAUUUAAUUGUCAGAGGUGAAAUUCUCGGAUUUAUGAAAGACGAACAACUGCGAAAGCAUUUGCCAAGGAUGUUUUCAUUAA
rnacentral:rRNA from 1 species